rnacentral:rRNA from 1 species
GACGAACGCUGGCGGCGUGCCUAAUACAUGCAAGUAGAACGCUGAAGAGAGGAGCUUGCUCUUCUUGGAUGAGUUGCGAACGGGUGAGUAACGCGUAGGUAACCUGCCUUGUAGCGGGGGAUAACUAUUGGAAACGAUAGCUAAUACCGCAUAACAAUGGAUGACACAUGUCAUUUAUUUGAAAGGGGCAAUUGCUCCACUACAAGAUGGACCUGCGUCGUAUUAGCUAGUAGGUGAGGUAAUGGCUCACCUAGGCGACGAUACAUAGCCGACCUGAGAGGGUGAUCGGCCACACUGGGACUGAGACACGGCCCAGACUCCUACGGGAGGCAGCAGUAGGGAAUCUUCGGCAAUGGGGGCAACCCUGACCGAGCAACGCCGCGUGAGUGAAGAAGGUUUUCGGAUCGUAAAGCUCUGUUGUAAGUCAAGAACGGGUGUGAGAGUGGAAAGUUCACACUGUGACGGUAGCUUACCAGAAAGGGACGGCUAACUACGUG